AGCGAACGCUGGCGGCGUGCCUAACACAUGCAAGUCGAACGUGAAAAGGGAAACCUGAGUAAAGUGGCGUACGGGUGAGUAACGCGUAGGUAAUCUACCCCAGAAUCUGGAAUAACCUGCCGAAAGGCGGGCUAAUACUGGAUAGAGCGAGGGAACUCGUAAGAGAGUUUUUCGGGAAAGGGAGCCCGCAAGGGCCUUCGUUCUGGGAUGAGCCUGCGUCUCAUUAGCUAGUUGGUAAGGUAACGGCUUACCAAGGCGAUGAUGAGUAGCUGGUCUGAGAGGAUGAUCAGCCACACUGGAACUGAAACACGGUCCAGACUCCUACGGGAGGCAGCAGUGGGGAAUCUUGCGCAAUGGACGAAAGUCUGACGCAGCCACGCCGCGUGAGUGAAGAAGGCCUUCGGGUUGUAAAGCUCUGUCGGAUGGGACGAACAUCUUCAUAGUGAAUAGCUAUGAGGACUGACGGUACCAUCAAAGGAGGCACCGGCUAACUCCGUG
rnacentral:rRNA from 1 species